AAUUCGAUUGAGUUGAUCAUGGCUCAGGACGAACGCUGGCGGCGUGCUUAACACAUGCAAGUCGAGCGGUAAGACUCCUUCGGGAGUACACGAGCGGCGAACGGGUGAGUAACACGUGAGCAAUCUGCCCUUCACAUCGGGAUAACCUCGGGAAACCGAAGCUAAUACCGGAUACGACCAUCGAUGGCAUCAUCUGAUGGUAGAAAGUUCCGGCGGUGAAGGAUGAGCUCGCGGCCUAUCAGCUUGUUGGUGGGGUAAUGGCCCACCAAGGCAACGACGGGUAGCCGGCCUGAGAGGGUGACCGGCCACACUGGGACUGAGACACGGCCCAGACUCCUACGGGAGGCAGCAGUGGGGAAUAUUGGACAAUGGGCGAAAGCCUGAUCCAGCAACGCCGCGUGAGGGAUGACGGCCUUCGGGUUGUAAACCUCUUUCAGCAGGGACGAAGCGCAAGUGACGGUACCUGCAGAAGAAGCACCGGCCAACUACGUGCCAGCAGCCGCGGUAAUACGUAGGGUGCAAGCGUUGUCCGGAAUUAUUGGGCGUAAAGAGCUCGUAGGCGGUCCAUCGCGUCGGGAGUGAAAAGCUGGGGCUUAACCCCAGUCCUGCUUCCGAUACGGGUGGACUAGAGGUAGGUAGGGGAGAUCGGAAUUCCUGGUGUAGCGGUGAAAUGCGCAGAUAUCAGGAGGAACA
rnacentral:rRNA from 1 species